UGGGGAAUAUUGGACAAUGGGGGCAACCCUGAUCCAGCCAUGCCGCGUGAGUGAAGAAGGCCUUCGGGUUGUAAAGCUCUUUUAAUCGGGACGAUGAUGACGGUACCGAUAGAAUAAGCCCCGGCUAACUUCGUGCCAGCAGCCGCGGUAAUACGAAGGGGGCAAGCGUUGUUCGGAAUUACUGGGCGUAAAGGGCGCGUAGGCGGCAUUGUUAGUUAGGCGUGAAAGCCCUGGGCUCAACCUGGGAAUUGCGUUUAAUACUGCGAUGCUAGAGUAUAGGAGAGGUUGGUGGAAUAUCCAGUGUAGAGGUGAAAUUCGUAGAUAUUGGAUAGAACACCGGUGGCGAAGGCGGCCAACUGGACUAUUACUGACGCUGAGGCGCGAAAGCGUGGGGAGCAAA
rnacentral:rRNA from 1 species